rfam:Macaca mulatta chromosome 19, whole genome shotgun sequence.
UGGCGCCCGAACAGGGACCUGGAAACGAGGGACUCCAUGAGGAAGAGGACGCCAAAGGACGGUCGACCGCUAACGAAGACAAAAGGAGUCAAACUCUUCCGAUCACCGCGGGAACCUGCCAUGUCAGAAUCGAAGGUAAGUGAUGCGUCCGAAAUGGGACAAGAAUUAAGCCAACAUCAAAUAUAUGUAGGACAAUUAAAAGAGGCUUUAAAGAUACGAGGAGUAAAGGUUAAAGGUAAUGAUUUGUUUAAAUUUUUUGAUUUUGUAAAAGACACUUGCCCUU